rnacentral:rRNA from 1 species
GGACUACUGGGGUUUCUAAUCCUGUUUGAUCCCCUUGCUUUCGCGCCUCAGCGUCAGGUUUAAGCUAGAAAACCGCCUUCGCCACCGGUGUUCUUCCACAUAUCUACGCAUUUCACCGCUACUUGUGGAAUUCCGUUUUCUCCGCCUACCCUCCAGACCGCCAGUUUCAAAUGCUGUUCCGAGGUUGAGCCCCGGGAUUUCACAUCUGACUUAACAGCCCGCCUACGCGCCCUUUACGCCCAAUAAAUCCGAUUAAUGCUUGCACCCUCCGUAUUACCGCGGCUGCUGGCAC